rnacentral:lncRNA from 1 species
CAAUUUAGAGACUUUGAUUUUCAUUAUGUGUUCAAAACCUCUAAUCAAGCCUUCUUUCUCUCACCCAGAUUUCUUCCUACUAUCUCUGGUUCUUCUCUCUUUGUACAGUUUGUCUCCACACAUGAAGAAACAACUUCUAAAUGCAAAGAGAAAAAUGGGCAGUAAUCAUUACCAAUGAUCCCCUAGAACAGAGGCCUCUUGACCUGCUUAUUUGAACCAACAAAGCUGAAUCUCUGCUCUGUGAUGGUGCUCUGCACAGGGAAGAGAUUCUACUUGCAACCAAACCUAGGCAACAUAGUCUUCCUGUUAAAAGAACAAGAAAGGAAAAUUUUCACUUGGAAGAGAUGCAGAAAGAUCUUUGUCACUCAAAUUUAUCUCAAGGCAGAUGUAUUUCCUUCCUGAGGCAAAACUAUAUGACAAAUUCAUGGAUCCUUUUAACUGAAGAGAGGACAAUUCAGAAGGAG